AAUGAAUUGAUGCCUUUUAUUUUUCAGUGUGUUACUUCCGAUAGUUCUAAGUUGCAGGAGUCUGCUUUGUUGAUUUUUGCGCAAUUGGCUCAGUAUAUUGGUGAAACCCUAGUUCCGCAUUUGGAUACGCUUCACUCUGUGUUUUCACAGUGUUUGGCUUCGUCUAAAACUGGGGAUGUGAGGAUUGCGGCUUUGGGUGCUGCCAUCAAUUUUAUUCAAUGUUUGUCUACUGCUUCUGAUAGGGAUAGGUUCCAGAAUCUAUUACCCUUGAUGAUGCAGACGUUGACUGAGGCUUUGAAUUCCGGUCAAGAAGCUACUGCGAAAGAUGCGCUUGAAUUGUUGAUUGAAUUGGCUGGGACUGAGCCUAGAUUCUUGAGGAGGCAGUUGGUUGAUGUGGUUGGUUCCAUGUUGCAGAUUGCUGAGGCGGAUUCACUUGAAGAAUCUACUAGACAUUUAGCUAUUGAGUUUGUUAUAACGCUUGCUGAGGCUCGAGAGCGAGCUCCUGGGAUGAUGAGGAAGUUGCCACAG
rnacentral:misc_RNA from 1 species